rnacentral:sRNA from 1 species
GCCAGGUGUAGUGGCGCAUGCCUGUAAUCCCAGUGGCUCAGGAGGCUGAGGCAGGAGGAUCACAAGUUCAAAGCCAGCCUCAGCAACUUAGCAACUUAACGAGACCCUGUUUCUA